rnacentral:lncRNA from 1 species
UUAGAAUAGUGGGAUCACAAGUAAUGUACCUACCACUCUUCAACUCAGGAAAUCAUCUCAAUCUUUUUUUCUUUUUUUUUCAGGAUGCCGAAGAGAAGAGAGAAGGAAACUAAAAUCACCAGACUUUUAUCUUUCAGACCUGAAGGAGGAAUCCAAUCUAGUGUAUACCAAGCUCCAAGACAAGCAAAUUGAGUUCAAUUAGGUUGGAGGUCAGCUUCGGUUCCUUCAAACAUUCUCAGCAACUGUGGAUAUGAAUGGCAGGUGAUCCACUUUGGUAUCUCUAGUACACUCUACAGUCAGUAAAUCUAAGAAAUGUGCUAGAGA